rnacentral:SRP_RNA from 1 species
CAUUGGUUCUUUCGCGACGAUAAGCUGUGAACUCCGCCAGGCCCGGAAGGGAGCAACGGUAGCAGUGGAUUCGAGCGCCGAAAUGUGGCUAGUGUGG